rfam:Geobacillus caldoxylosilyticus NBRC 107762 DNA, contig: GCA01S012.
GGUCCCGUAGUGUAGUGGUUAACAUGCCUGCCUGUCACGCAGGAGAUCGCGGGUUCGAGUCCCGUCGGGACCG